AAAGUACUCCCUCCGUCCCAAAAUUCUUGUCUUGGAUUUGUCUAGAUACGGAUGUAUCAAGUCACAUUUUAGUAUUAGAUACAUCCGUAUCUAGAAAAAUCUAAGACAAGAAAUUUGGGACAGAGGGAGUAGUUC
rnacentral:pre_miRNA from 1 species